AACUUUUGGUAUGUUGUACUAAAGGCACCUCCCAGGAUCUUUUGGUUUGUCUCUUUUGGUUUGUAUCUUGCCAUCAUGCCUUAAUUUGUUGUUCAUAUUAUACUUGGAUAUUCGUUAAGUUAAUUUCUAGUUGCUGCUACGUUACUGGUGCAGAUUGGUUUGUUUUUUCUGUUAACUUGUUUCUUUUAUAUAUUCAGUAACAUGUAUAUCCAGCCGAGGCACUUGUCCAAAAUGUUGAUAGGCUAUGAAAGGUUAAAGCAGAAAAAAAAUGGAACAAAACUUAGUACAAUUGAAGGCUGCUGGAAUCAAGAAUGUGCUAAAGUUUUUGUUGGGCUUAAAUCAAAGUGCCAUCGGUAAAUUUAAUGAUAAGGAAGAAGUUGACAUUGGGCAUGCAGUCAAUGGUGAUGAUGACGUUGACUAUUUGAUGGUGAAGAAAGGCUGAGUUCUAAUAGUGACAAUGAUGAAGGGUCUAAAACAAAUGAGGUGAAUGGUACAGGUCCAAGAAAGAAGAAGGCUUGUUCUAGUGCCCAACCUCUGAGAAAAUCACAAAGAACUCAAGAACAGGGUGGCAGCACCCAGGGUGCAACCCAAGCGUAGCAGCUUCCCACAUCACCUAUUGAACAAACUAACAUGUUUUGUAGCCCACAUACGGUUGUCGGUUGUUUGGAAACUCCUGCAAUCCCUUCAAGAACGUCACAAAAUCUCAAACACAAAAGAGGCCUGACCAAGCUGAAAACCAUUCCUAUAGAUGAAAGUAGUCGGAUUGACGUUAAGUUUGAUGAGAAUGGUGAACCAAUAGGUGAGGGAUCAGUCAAGUUGUCUUCUUUCUUGGGACCUCUAGUUCGAGAGAUUGUACCAUAUACACUUUUGGAUUGGCGAAAGCUUCCUUCGGGAAUGCCAGAAAUCCUAUGGCAAUCCAUUCAGGUAAGAUUCAAUCUUCAUGAAGAAUGGCAUAGACAAAUGGUUUUUCGGAGAAUGAAUGAAGAUUGGAGAGCCUCAAAGUCGAUAUUAGUAAAAAAAAGUAAGAAACGCUUCAAAUGAGGAAGAAAGGCUAAAGCUACAGCUUGAUAACAUCAAAUCGCUGCAUGAUUGGAGGGAUUUUGUGAAGGAAAAGACUAGUAAAGAAUUCAAGCUGCUACUGUUAUGGUUCUGCUAUGGGCACUAUUAUUGAGCCACGAUGGCGUAUCCUGUUGUUUACUUGUGGAAUGUUCCAAAAACAGGACUGCAUUGUGCUUUCCAUCCAUGCUUCUGCAUUAUUUUGGCUGUCCAGUAUUGUUGCUGCUAUGGCUUUGUUGGACUGAUUUGUUACUACUACGGCUUUGUUGGGUUGCUGCUGUUUUGCUGCCUGUUAUGCGGCUGUUUUGAUGCUGUUUCUGCUGUAACCUUAUUCAGCCUUGUGUGCUUUUCAUGUUGCUACGGGUUUUUCUCUACUAUAUUUAGGAGUUGCUACUACCCUUUCUUUGCUGCAUUUAGGACUUGAUUUUGGUUUAUUCUUGACUUUAGGUGAAAAGCGAGAACUUUAAAGCUAUGAGAGAGAAACAGUUGGAGCUGCAGCUUACUAUGAGUCGUAAGGGAUAUGCACGGUUGACUACUGAGUUGAAAGCGAAAAGAAAUGUUGCCUCCAUAAGUAGAGCCAUUGUUUGGGCCGAUGGACAUAGAGAAAAGAAUGGAAAACCCAAGAACAAGAAUGUUGCACAAAAGAUUGUAAAGGCCAUGGCUCAUUCUUUAUUUGUGUGUUUUAUUUGUUAUAUAUGUUUGACAGUCUCAUUAGUCAUUUGCAUUAUUUUUUUAUUAUGCCAUUUUUAUGAAGAUAUGGGAAAAAUUGAACGGAAUGGAUAGAAUUAAACUAAUCUGAAAGAAGAUGCUGUUUCUAAAGUGCUUGGUGCUGAGAGGAAUGGCCGUGUAAGAACAUUUGGAAAAGGAGUCACUCAAACAAGAUGAACUAUAUUAUCACAAAUGAAUGGUCAAUUUGCUGAAUUACGUGAAGAAAAUGCUCAGAUGAAGUCUCAAAUGUCGGAUAUGCGAAAUACAAUUGACGAGUUAAAGGAAAGCCAAGUUCAAAAUCCGGUAACAACUGAAGCAACACCAACUACACCCCUCCAUCGGUAACAUGUCAUCCACAGAGUGACAUUACCAAGUGCAAGUUACUAGAUUGGAUGGGGACGGGAGACGUAGUAGCGGAGGGGCGUUGGGCUUCAAGUGAUCCACAUUCCAAUGCUCAUUAUGUUCUGAUCAGCCCUAAUGCAAUGAAAGUUUGGGUGGAUGCAGCAAAGAAACCUGAAGAGUUUCUGUGGAGGGCUCCAAGUGAUAUGACCUUUAUCGUACAUGCUGUGGGAAGUACCAUCGCAUGGCCUGCUGACUUUGUUAUUCUAGACUCUUCUUCCCCAGGGUUUAUGGGUUGAUAAAGAAGUGUUGUUGUGACUUUUUGCAAUUUUUUGCUGAAGAUAUAGGUAUGAUCUUGCUAGUGUGGUGGCUGUCAUUAUCGCUUGGUUGGUUGAAGCCUUUUUGUUGAUACUUAUGGGGUGGAUAGAUUUUGGAAGGACUGUCUUGGUUGAAGCCUUUUUAUUAAUAUUUUGGUGUCAAGGUUUGAACUCCACUUUUGGGAUACAUAGAUGUUUUGGAAGGCCUUUUUGUUGAUAUUUGAUGACAAGGCUUGUACUCCACUUUUGGGAUACAUAGAUAUUUUGGAAGGCCUUAUUGUUGAUAUUUGGAGACAAGGCUUGUACUAGAUAGAAAUGUUGGAAGGACAUUUAGUAUAUUGAAUUUCUUUUAUAAUGGUAAUCACUUUGAUGUUCGGA